AAUAGUGAUGUGCCACUUUGCGACUGAAACUGAUCAACCGCCAUGGCCGGCAAACCGCACCAAAAUGAACAAUGUCUUCGAUUGCCGAAAACUGAUCCACAAUCAGUCCUAGAAUGUCAUUGCAAAGUUCGGACCAGUUCCCCAUACCCUUUCCUUGUCUCGUGCAAA